rnacentral:rRNA from 1 species
CGCCUCUUGCUAACAAAGGAAGUACUAGAGGUCCCGCCUGCCCUGUGACCACAAAGUUUAACGGCCGCGGUAUCCUGACCGUGCGAAGGUAGCGUAAUCAUUUGUCUUUUAAAUAGAGACCUGUAUGAAUGGCAUAACGAGGGUUUAACUGUCUCCUUCCCCCAGUCAAUGAAAUUGAUCUGCCCGUGCAGAAGCGGACAUAAAUACAUAAGACGAGAAGACCCUAUGGAGCUUUAGACAAAAGAUCAAACAUGUAAAGAAACCAAAACAACCAAAAGGAACACGAAGGCCACAAAACCCAAC